UCCCUCCCCCCUGGCAUGCCUGGCACAGAAGUGAGGACCUGGCGGCUGGCUUCAGGGUCUGCAGAACCCUCUCCGUCUGCCUUGUGGUUCCCAAACGGAGCCUCAGCCCAUCCAAAGAUGGCCUGGAGACAGCUGCUUCUCGUCUGCUGUCUCUCAGCUGCUGUGCUCCUCACUACGCUGCAGGAGGGCGCUGGUGCAUCGGUGGGCACCCAGCAGGAGGCAGGACAAGACGUUCGGGAAGAUGUAGAACAGAAGAUCUUCAUGCAGGAAUCAGAUGCUUCAAAUUUCCUCAAGAGGCGCAGCAAGCGGUCCCCAAAAUCCCAAGAUGAGGUCAACGCGGAGAACAGGCAGAAGCUACGGGCCAAUGAGCUUCGGAGAGCGUACUACGAGGAACAAAGGAACGAGUUUGAGAACUUCGUGGAGGAGCAAAAUGAUGAACAGGAAGCGAGAAGCCGGGAAGCUAUUGAGCAAUGGCGCCAGUGGCAUUACGACGGCCUGCAUCCAUCAUAUCUCUAUAACCGCCACCACAUCUGACCUCAUUUUGACAGAGCAGGAAGAUGGAGCUUGAAACUCACAAACCUACCCCAGGUCUGGAGGCUACAGGUCCCAAUUCAAGGUGUCUGCAGAGCCGUGUUCCCUCCCUCUCUUUGCGGGAGGAUCCUGCCCUGCCUGCUGCAGCUUCUGGCGGCUCCAGGGCCUCCUUGGCUUGUGGCUGUGUCACUCCAAUCUCUGCACCUGUUGUCAUGGGGUCUCUGUGUCUCUCUUCUCUUCUUGAUACAACUUUUU